rnacentral:rRNA from 1 species
AUGAACGCUGGCGGCGUGCCUAACACAUGCAAGUCGAACGAAGCACCUCGCCCGAUGAAGAGGAGAGCUUGCUCAAAUCGGAAUCAAUUGAGGUGACUUAGUGGCGGACGGGUGAGUAACGCGUGGGUAACCUGCCGUAUACAGGGGGAUAACAGUUAGAAAUGACUGCUAAUACCGCAUAAGCGCACAGUAUCGCAUGAUACAGUGUGAAAAGCCGAGACGGUAUACGAUGGACCCGCGUCUGAUUAGCCAGUUGGCAGGGUAACGGCCUACCAAAGCAACGAUCAGUAGCCGGCCUGAGAGGGUGAACGGCCACAUUGGGACUGAGACACGGCCCAAACUCCUACGGGAGGCAGCAGUGGGGGAUAUUGCACAAUGGGGGAAACCCUGAUGCAAGCGACGCCGCGUGAGCGAAGAAGUAUUUCGGUAUGUAAAGCUCUAUCAGCAGGGAAGAAAAUGACGGUACCUGACUAAGAAGCUCCGGCUAAAUACGUGCCAGCCGCAGC